CGACGCCGCGGUAACACCGGCAGCUCUAGUGGUAGCAGUUUUAUGGGCCUAAAGCGUCCGUAGCCGGUUUAAUAAGUCUCUGGUGAAAUCCUGUAGCUUAACUGUGGGAAUUGCUGGAGAUACUAUUAGACUUGAGACCGGGAGAGGUUAGAGGUACUCCCAGGGUAGAGGUGAAAUUCUGUAAUCCUGGGAGGACCGCCUGUUGCGAAGGCGUCUAACUGGAACGGUUCUGACGGUGAGGGACGAAAGUUAGGGGCGCGAACCGGAUUAGAUACCCGGGUAGUCCUAACCGUAAACGAUGCGGACUUGGUGUUGGGGUGGCUUUGAGCUGCUCCAGUGCCGAAGGGAAGCUGUUAAGUCCGCCGCCUGGGAAGUACGGUCGCAAGACUGAAACUUAAGGAAUUGGCGGGGGAGCACCACAACGCGUGGAGCCUGCCGGUUUAAUUGGAUUCAACGCCGGACAUCUCACCAGAGGCGACAGCUGUAUGAUAGCCAGGCUGAUGACUUUGCUUGACUAGCUGAGGGGAGGUGCAUGG
rnacentral:rRNA from 1 species